rnacentral:rRNA from 1 species
AACGAACGCUGGCGGCAUGCCUAACACAUGCAAGUCGAACGAGACCUUCGGGUCUAGUGGCGCACGGGUGCGUAACGCGUGGGAAUCUACCCUCAGGUUCGGAAUAACUCAGAGAAAUUUGAGCUAAUACCGGAUGAUGACGUAAGUCCAAAGAUUUAUCGCCUGAGGAUGAGCCCGCGUAGGAUUAGGUAGUUGGUGAGGUAAAGGCUCACCAAGCCGACGAUCCUUAGCUGGUCUGAGAGGAUGAUCAGCCACACUGGGACUGAGACACGGCCCAGACUCCUACAGGAGGCAGCAGUGGGGAAUAUUGGACAAUGGGCGAAAGCCUGAUCCAGCAAUGCCGCGUGAGUGAUGAAGGCCUUAGGGUUGUAAAGCUCUUUUACCCGGGAUGAUAAUGACAGUACCGGGAGAAUAAGCUCCGGCUAACUCCGUG